rnacentral:rRNA from 1 species
AUGAGACCGGCGCCGCGCAUAUCUACUCCGCCGACCUCCCCGGUAACUCUCGGCCCGCUCCUCCGCUCCUCCCGGCACUAUUUCUGUUUCUUAAUUUUGGCCGUGACAUCGACAUGGGUGGUGUACGUUCGAUUAUUAGGCGUGAAGAAGGAGGAGAUCAGGGUGGAGAUUGAGGACGGGAGGUACCUCGUCAUACGCACCGAGCUGGACGCUCGUGACGCGGAAGUCCACGGCCGCCGAGGCAGUUUCGCAAGGAAGUUCCGGCUGCCGGGGAUGGUGAACACCGACGGCAUCACGACCGACUACGCCCGCGGCGUACUGACCGUGACAGUGCCCAGGAUGCACACCCGGGCCCAGCCCGUGGUCAAUCUCAUCGGGCUUGGUCCUGCCUGCGACCCCGGUCUUCCUUGCUCUUGGCUUGAAGGGCUCAGUAAUGAGGAAAAUAAAAAAACACAUGAAUGUAGAAGGUUGAGCUUCGGAUGGCUCUCCUCCCCCCUUCGCUCUACUCUCCCCUCCCAUCCGUCCUCUCCCUUGCCCACUGGCCUGGUGGCUGCUGUCGCAGCCUUCCCCUCCCUCCCCCUCUUCCUCUCUCGUGCAUCCCCCCGUGCCUUCCUCGCCUCCGUUGUCUGCCUUGUCGCUCACUGGGGAGUUGUGUGGUGGUUCGGAGCCGCUGCCAAUCGAUUAUGGGCACUCCUCACCGAGGUCCCCGACUCCGAAGAUGAGGACACGCGCUCGACGUUCAUGUCGGGUUGGCGCGGACGUCCUGAAGUGUGCUCGCCACUGGAGCAGGGCUGGAUGCACAUUCACUGGCACGGUCGUCCCUCAGUUCCCCCUGCUCCCUCGUGCGUCGGUUGCCUAGUCUAUGCUGAGGCCUUCUGGGGCGGCGCUCGGGCCGCUGCUCCCAAAGCCGGUCGCGUCCAUGAACAAGUCCCAUGGCUCGUUAGCGAGGUGGCCUCAGGUGCUAAGCGUCGCCGGGAGGGCUCAAUGGAGGCCGCGUCUGACUUGGAGUACGAGGCGGCUCUCCGGUCCAAGCUUGAGGCCAAGCGGGCUGCGCGCGACCAGGUCCAACAUGACGGCGCCUGCGGUCAACGCGGCUUCGGGCUGGGGCGCCCUGGUGCCAGAUCCCUAGGAGGCUACGGCGUCGGGCUUGGCUGCAGCUCCUAG